rnacentral:rRNA from 1 species
AACGAACGCUGGCGGCAGGCUUAACACAUGCAAGUCGAGCGCCCCGCAAGGGGAGCGGCAGACGGGUGAGUAACGCGUGGGAAUCUACCCAUCUCUACGGAAUAACGCAUGGAAACGUGUGCUAAUACCGUAUACGUCCUUCGGGAGAAAGAUUUAUCGGAGAUGGAUGAGCCCGCGUUGGAUUAGCUAGUUGGUGGGGUAAAGGCCUACCAAGGCGACGAUCCAUAGCUGGUCUGAGAGGAUGAUUAGCCACACUGGGACUGAGACACGGCCCAGACUCCUUCGGGAGGCAGCAGUGGGGAAUAUUGGACAAUGGGCGCAAGCCUGAUCCAGCCAUGCCGCGUGAGUGAUGAAGGCCCUAGGGUUGUAAAGCUCUUUCACCGGUGAAGAUAAUGACGGUAACCGGAGAAGAAGCCCCGGCUAACUUCGUGCCAGCAGCCGCCGUAAUAC